GACGAACGCUGGCGGCGUGCUUAACACAUGCAAGUCGAACGGAAAGGCCCUGCUUUUGUGGGGUGCUCGAGUGGCGAACGGGUGAGUAACACGUGAGUAACCUGCCCUUGACUUUGGGAUAACUUCAGGAAACUGGGGCUAAUACCGGAUAGGAGCUCCUGCUGCAUGGUGGGGGUUGGAAAGUUUCGGCGGUUGGGGAUGGACUCGCGGCUUAUCAGCUUGUUGGUGGGGUAGUGGCUUACCAAGGCUUUGACGGGUAGCCGGCCUGAGAGGGUGACCGGCGACGGUGGGGCGGUGAUCCGGCCCAGGGGGAGGGGGGGGGCAGCAGGGGGGAAUAUGGGGCGAGGGGCGGAAGCGUGAGGGCGAACGGCGGAGUGGGGGAGGGCGGCUGUAGGGUGGCAUCGGGCUGUCGCCGGGGAGGAAGAGUGAGUGAGGGUAGUGGGAAACGAAGCAGAGGAAAACUACGUGCAAGCGGGCGCGGUAAUAGGAGGAAGAGAACACGCAUGACC
rnacentral:rRNA from 1 species